rnacentral:rRNA from 1 species
AUUGAACGCUGGCGGCAGGCCUAACACAUGCAAGUCGAACGAGUGGCGGACGGGUGAGUAAUGUCUGGGAAACUGCCUGAUGGAGGGGGAUAACUACUGGAAACGGUAGCUAAUACCGCAUACCAUCGGAUGUGCCCAGAUGGGAUUAGCUAGUAGGUGGGGUAACGGCUCACCAAGGCGACGCUCCCUAGCUGGUCUGAGAGGAUGACCAGCCACGCUGGAACUGAGACUCGGUCCAGACUUCUACGAGAUGCAGCAGUGGGGAAUAUUGCAUAAUGGUCACAAGCCUGAUGCAGCCAUGCCGCGUGUAUGAAGAAGGCCUUCGGGUUGUAAAGUACUUUCAGCGAGGAGGCGUUACCCGCAGAAGAAGCACCGGCUAACUCCGUGCCAGCAGCAGCGGUAAUAC